UACAGAGGGUGCGAGCGUUGUUCGGAAUUAUUGGGCGUAAAGGGCGCGUAGGCGGUGCGGUAAGUCACCUGUGAAAUCUCCUGGCUCAACUGGGAGCUUGCAGGCGAAACUGCCGUGCUGGAGUGUGGGAGAGGUGCGUGGAAUUUCCGGUGUAGCGGUGAAAUGCGUAGAUAUCGGAAGGAACACCUGUGGCGAAAGCGGCUCACUGGACCAUUACUGACGCUGAGGCACGAAAGCUAGGGGAGCAAACAGG
rnacentral:rRNA from 1 species